CGCCCCGCCCUUUCCGGAGCUCUUUGGAAAGCUCCGCGCUGCGGCCUCCCGGGGACCAAGAACAGACCCCGCCCUACUGACAAUCUGCUGCUCCCCGGGGGUGCUUCCGCCACCCUACGAAGGGCCACUCGCCGCCCGUGUUGCCUCUGUCUCUUCGGAAACAUUCUCCCGGCAAACAACCCCCCGCCCUCAAGGCGCCGCUCGGACCUCGGGCUCCUGCAAGACCAAGGGGAUCACGGUAGAGUCUCCCCGAGUGCAGUAGAACAGCACCCCCGUGUGGCCCUGUCCUCCAGAACCCGCGGAAUGGCCGGAUUCGUGGGCUGCAGCAGAGAUCCGCCAGACCUAUGCUAAGAGACGCUGAAGACCAGAGCUGCCAUGCAAGAACUUUGACUGCCCUGAGGCCACCACGAUUAGAGGAAGCCCAAACCAGCCCACAGGGAGAGACCACAUGGAGAAGCCUUGAAGAAGGUUACUGCUUUACUACCCAUCAGGAGGAAGGAAAAAUUUCUUCUUGCCCAGCAACGGUCCAGCCACUAAAAGGAGACUGUUACAGCUCAGCCAAAGAAAAGCGAUUAAACUUAAAGCUCCCAGUUUCUUCCACCGGACUCGGUUUAUAACAGACCCUCCCAAACUCUCCCUUCUCCUCUAUAAAAGAAUGUGCCUCUCCUUUGUUCUCCCCACUUGCUUGUGCUUUACCAUAGAGUCCAUGUCCCAAAUUGUAAUUCUCUGCUAUUCCCAAAUAAACCCAUUU